UGGGGAAUAUUGCACAAUGGGCGAAAGCCUGAUGCAGCGACGCCGCGUGAGGGAUGACGGCCUUCGGGUUGUAAACCUCUUUCAGUAGGGACGAAGCGCAAGUGACGGUACCUGCAGAAGAAUCACCGGCUAACUACGUGCCAGCAGCCGCGGUAAUACGUAGGGUGCGAGCGUUGUCCGGAAUUACUGGGCGUAAAGAGCUCGUAGGCGGUUUGUCACGUCGUCUGUGAAAUCCUAGGGCUUAACCCUGGACGUGCAGGCGAUACGGGCUGACUUGAGUACUACAGGGGAGACUGGAAUUUCUGGUGUAGCGGUGGAAUGCACAGAUAUCAGGAAGAACACCGAUGGCGAAGGCAGGUCUCUGGGUAGUAACUGACGCUGAGGAGCGAAAGCAUGGGUAGCGAACAGG
rnacentral:rRNA from 1 species